rnacentral:rRNA from 1 species
CGCUAUCACUCCUACGGGAGGCAGCAGUGGGGAAUAUUGCACAAUGGGCGCAAGCCUGAUGCAGCCAUGCCGCGUGAGUGAUGAAGGCCCUAGGGUCGUAAAGCUCUUUCGCCAGGGAUGAUAAUGACAGUACCUGGUAAAGAAACCCCGGCUAACUCCGUGCCAGCAGCCGCGGUAAUACGGAGGGGGUUAGCGUUGUUCGGAAUUACUGGGCGUAAAGCGCGCGUAGGCGGACUGGAAAGUUGGGGGUGAAAUCCCGGGGCUCAACCCCGGAACUGCCUCCAAAACUCCCAGUCUUGAGUUCGAGAGAGGUGAGUGGAAUUCCGAGUGUAGAGGUGAAAUUCGUAGAUAUUCGGAGGAACACCAGUGGCGAAGGCGGCUCACUGGCUCGAUACUGACGCUGAGGUGCGAAAGUGUGGGGAGCAAACAGGAUUAGAUACCCUGGUAG